GUGUCCUUGGCGCUUUGAAGAGAGGCAGAAAAGCCAGUGAGGAAAGGAUCCAAAUGAUGUUUUUCCGUCUGCCAAAUGGAGACAGCAAUGGAUGUACCGUCCACCCUGGGAAAGAGUGAAGAUUAAUCAAGCUUGAGGCUUACUUAGGCGAGACUUUAAGCUCUAAAGGAGAGAAGGGAACUGGACUUUAUCAGUGCAGCAUCUUCAAUUUUGUGGAACAAGAAAUUAGCCGUGCAUCAUAGCUGUAAAUAAAUGGAGGGUGAUACCUGUUGA